rnacentral:tRNA from 1 species
GAGGUUGUAGCUCAGUGGUAGAGCGCUUGCCUAGCAUGUACAAGGCACUGGGUUCAAUUCUCAGCACCUCA